GAUGAACGCUCGCGGGAGGCCUAACACAUGCAAGCCGAGCGGUAGAGUUUCUUCGGAAACUUGAGAGCGGCGCACGGGUGCGUAACACGUGUGCAACCUACCUUUAUCUGGGGGAUAGCCUUUCGAAAGGAAGAUUAAUACCCCAUAAUAUAAUGAUUGGCAUCAAUUAUUAUUGAAAACUCCGGUGGAUAGAGAUGGGCACGCGCAAGAUUAGAUAGUUGGUGAGGUAACGGCUCACCAAGUCAAUGAUCUUUAGGGGUCCUGAGAGGGAGAUCCCCCACACUGGUACUGAGACACGGACCAGACUCCUACGGGAGGCAGCAGUGAGGAAUAUUGGACAAUGGGUGAGAGCCUGAUCCAGCCAUCCCGCGUGAAGGAUGACGGUCCUAUGGAUUGUAAACUUCUUUUGUACAGGGAUAAACCUACCCUCGGGAGGGUAGCUGAAGGUACUGUACGAAUAAGCACCGGCUAACUCCGUG
rnacentral:rRNA from 1 species